rnacentral:rRNA from 2 species
UGGAUCCAGACUUUGAUCAUGGCUCAGGAUGAACGCUAGCUACAGGCUUAACACAUGCAAGUCGAGGGGCAGCAUGACGAUAGCUUGCUAUUGUUGAUGGCGACCGGCGCACGGGUGAGUAACGCGUAUCCAACCUGCCCUUGUCCAUCGGAUAACCCGUCGAAAGGCGGCCUAACACGAUAUGCAGUCCACAGAAGGCAUCUGACGCGGACGAAAUGUAAAGGAGAAGGAUGGGGAUGCGUCUGAUUAGCUUGUUGGCGGGGUAACGGCCCACCAAGGCGACGAUCAGUAGGGGUUCUGAGAGGAAGGUCCCCCACAUUGGAACUGAGACACGGUCCAAACCCCUACGGGAGGCAGCAGUGAGGAAUAUUGGUCAAUGGGCGAGAGCCUGAACCAGCCAAGUAGCGUGCAGGAAGACGGCCCUAUGGGUUGUAAACUGCUUUUAUGCGGGGAUAAAGUGAGCCACGUGUGGCUUAUUGCAGGUACCGCAUGAAUAAGGACCGGCUAAUUCCGUGCCAGCAGCCGCGGUAAUACGGAAGGUCCGGGCGUUAUCCGGAUUUAUUGGGUUUAAAGGGAGCGUAGGCCGUCUGGUAAGCGUGUUGUGAAAUGUCGGGGCUCAACCUGGGCAUUGCAGCGCGAACUGUCAGACUUGAGUGCGCGGGAAGCAGGCGGAAUUCGUCGUGUAGCGGUGAAAUGCUUAGAUAUGACGAAGAACUCCGAUUGCGAAGGCAGCCUGCUGUAGCGCAACUGACGCUGAAGCUCGAAAGCGUGGGUAUCGAACAGGAUUAGAUACCCUGGUAGUCCACGCGGUAAACGAUGGAUGCUCGCUGUUUGCGUCUGACGUAAGCGGCCAAGCGAAAGCGUUAAGCAUCCCACCUGGGGAGUACGCCGGCAACGGUGCAACUCAAAUGAAUUGACGGA